rnacentral:misc_RNA from 1 species
UCCCUGUUACCAAGGCAGUAUAGCUAGAGAAAUUCAACUAGCUAAAAGGGUUGCGCUCGUUGAUGGACUUAACCAAACAUCUCACGACACGAGCUGACGACGGCCAUGCAGCACCUGUCACUGCGUUCCAAAAAGGCACAGUCUCCUUUCGGAGACCUUCACAGGAUGUCAAGCCUGGGUAAGGUUCUUCGCUUACCGUCGAAUUAAACAACACGCUCCACCGCUUGUGCGGGUCCCCGUCAAUUCCUUUAUGUUUUAAGCUUGCGCUCGUACUCCACAGGCGGGAUGCUUAACGCGUUAGCUUCGCUACUAUUCGGGUCGAUACGAAUAACAGCUAGCAUCCAUAGUUUACGGCGUGGACUAC